UCUGGCAGCAGAAAGCAACAAAUCGCUGGCUGGUGCAUGUUGCGCUGAUGUUUUGGUGGUAGGUGUUCUCUCUCCCUGCACUUUAGCUGACCUUGGUCAGAAAAUCUAAACUAAAGUGUGAUCGUAGGUAAAACGCCACUGCGCUGCAUUCCUUUUCUUCCUCGGUCUGCGAGUGUGUGUGCAUGUUUUGUGGAUCAGCAGGUUUCGUACAGUUGAACCAUUGCUGCUCUGUCUACGUUCGUUUCCCGGACCUGCUCUGUCUACGUUCGUUUCCCGGACCUGUUCGGCGUUGUUCUGCGCCGGCUACGUAAAUCUCCCGGAUUUCUGCACAAUUGUUCUGAAGUUGGACUGUGGCGGCGUUAUCCGCCCUGAUUGGAGCGGUGUUUAGGGUGUGGCAUCGGCGCGCCCGUUUCAUCUCCCGCUGUGGCAGGGCCACGCUUGGUCUUAAUGUUUUAACUUGUCUUGUCUGAUUUUUAUUUUUAUACUUUUGUUCACAGCCCUUUUUGUUUAUUUAGUCGGGCUGAUAUUGUUAUAUUGGUUAAUUGUCUGUUUUUCUUUGUUUGCAGUUGCUGAGGUCCGGUGUUGGUGUGGUGACGGUGUCUUCCUCGUCUGUGUGCUGUGAUUCUAGAGUUUGGGUUGUCUCACUGCGUCUGGUGUUAAAGGUUUUUUUUUUUGAUUUGCUGUGUUUGGUGGAUGUCGUCCCCAUAGCGCCCCCCUCCGGCCGGUAGCCUCAACUGCUGCAG